AUAUAGAGAACAAUACAUAUACUAACAUUGUAAUGAUAUAGAGAAGAUUAGCAUAGCCCCUGCCCAAGGCUAACACACAAAUCCCCAAAGUUGGAAUGAGGGGGU